rnacentral:lncRNA from 1 species
AUGAUCUCGGCCUUCUUGAUCCAGCAAGAGAGACGGAGAGGUAGAAGAGUUCUCCGGCAGCGUGACGGCGCUCCGGAGGUUGGUGAUGACCUUGUCUCAGCAGGGCUCCGCCCGAGCUCCGCAGAAACGCGAUCUAGAGGAAAAACCGUGGAGAUAUGUGGUCGGGCUGCCGUGGCAAAGUUGUGUCAAAUCAGCCCUAAAACCCCACUAUAUAUAGGAGGAGGAGGGGGGAGACUUGCCUUGGGGUCCAAGGACUCCCAAGGGAGUCGGCCGAGCGAAGGGGGAAGGCCUCCCCCUCCCAAACCGAAAUCUACUUGGUUUGGAAGGUGGAGUCCUUCUUCCCUUCCNNNNNNNNNNNNNNNNNNNNNNNNNNNNNNNNNNNNNNNNNNNNNNNNNNNNNNNNNNNNNNNNNNNNNNNNNNNNNNNNNNNNNNNNNNNNNNNNNNNNNNNNNNNNNNNNNNNNNNNNNNNNNNNNNNNNNNNNNNNNNNNNNNNNNNNNNNNNNNNNNNNNNNNNNNNNNNNNNNNNNNNNNNNNNNNNNNNNNNNNNNNNNNNNNNNNNNNNNNNNNNNNNNNNNNNNNNNNNNNNNNNNNNNNNNNNNNNNNNNNNNNNNNNNNNNNNNNNNNNNNNNNNNNNNNNNNNNNNNNNNNNNNNNNNNNNNNNNNNNNNNNNNNNNNNNNNNNNNNNNNNNNNNNNNNNNNNNNNNNNNNNNNNNNNNNNNNNNNNNNNNNNNNNNNNNNNNNNNNNNNNNNNNNNNNNNNNNNNNNNNNNNNNNNNNNNNNNNNNNNNNNNNNNNNNNNNNNNNNNNNNNNNNNNNNNNNNNNNNNNNNNNNNNNNNNNNNNNNNNNNNNNNNNNNNNNNNNNNNNNNNNNNNNNNNNNNNNNNNNNNNNNNNNNNNNNNNNNNNNNNNNNNNNNNNNNNNNNNNNNNNNNNNNNNNNNNNNNNNNNNNNNNNNNNNNNNNNNNNNNNNNNNNNNNNNNNNNNNNNNNNNNNNNNNNNNNNNNNNNNNNNNNNNNNNNNNNNNNNNNNNNNNNNNNNNNNNNNNNNNNNNNNNNNNNNNNNNNNNNNNNNNNNNNNNNNNNNNNNNNNNNNNNNNNNNNNNNNNNNNNNNNNNNNNNNNNNNNNNNNNNNNNNNNNNNNNNNNNNNNNNNNNNNNNNNNNNNNNNNNNNNNNNNNNNNNNNNNNNNNNNNNNNNNNNNNNNNNNNNNNNNNNNNNNNNNNNNNNNNNNNNNNNNNNNNNNNNNNNNNNNNNNNNNNNNNNNNNNNNNNNNNNNNNNNNNNNNNNNNNNNNNNNNNNNNNNNNNNNNNNNNNNNNNNNNNNNNNNNNNNNNNNNNNNNNNNNNNNNNNNNNNNNNNNNNNNNNNNNNNNNNNNNNNNNNNNNNNNNNNNNNNNNNNNNNNNNNNNNNNNNNNNNNNNNNNNNNNNNNNNNNNNNNNCUCGUCUCAGCAGGGCUCCGCCUGAGCUCCGCAGAAACACGAUCUAGAGGAAAAACUAUGGAGGUAUGUGGUCGGGCAGCCGUGAGAAAGUCGUCUCAAAUCUGCCCUAAAAGCCCCAUAUAUAUAGGAGGAGGGAGGGGGACCUUGCCUUGGGGUCCAAGGGAUCCCCAAGGGGUCGGCCGAGCCAGGGGGGAGGACUCUCCCCCCCCAAACCGAGUCCUACUUGGUUUGGUGGGAGGGAGUCCUUCCCCCUUCCCACUUCUUCCUUUUUUUUUCUUUCCUUUGAUUUUUUCUCUCUUGGCGCAUAGGGGAUUGGUGGGCUGUCCCACCAGCCCACUAAGGGCUGGUGUGACCCCCCCAAAUGCCUAUGGGCUUCCCCGAAGUGGGUUGCCCCCCUCCGGUGAACUCCCGGAACCCAUUCGUCAUUCCCGGUACAUUCCCGGUAACUCCGAAAACCUUCCGGUAAUCAAAUGAAGUCAUCCUAUAUAUCAAUCUUCAUUUCCGAACUAUUCCGGAAACCCUCGUGACGUCCGUGAUCUCAUCCGGGACUCCGAACAACAUUCGGUAACCAACCAUAUAACUCAAAUACGCAUAAAACAACGUCGAACCUUAAGUGUGCAGACCCUGCGGGUUCGAGAACUAUGUAGACAUGACCCGAGAGACUCCUCGGUCAAUAUCCAACAGCGGGACCUGGAUGCCCAUAUUGGAUCCUACAUAUUCUACGAAGAUCUUAUCGUUUGAACCUCACUGCCAAGGAUUCGAAUAAUCCCGUAUGUCAUUCCCUUUGUCCUUCGGUAUGUUACUUGCCCGAGAUUCGAUCGUCAGUAUCCGCAUACCUAUUUCAAUCUCGUUUACCGGCAAGUCUCUUUACUCGUUCCGUAAUACAAGAUCCCGCAACUUACACUAAGUUACAUUGCUUGCAAGGCUUAUGUGUGAUGUUGUAUUACCGAGUGGGCCCCGAGAUACCUCUCCGUCACACGGAGUGACAAAUCCCAGUCUUGAUCCAUACUAACUCAACUAACACCUUCGGAGACACCUGUAGAGCAUCUUUAUAGUCACCCAGUUACGUUGCGACGUUUGAUACACACAAAGUAUUCCUCCGGUGUCAGUGAGUUAUAUGAUCUCAUGGUCAUAGGAAUAAAUACUUGACACGCAGAAAACAGUAGCAAUAAAAUGACACGAUCAACAUGCUACGUCUAUUAGUUUGGGUCUAGUCCAUCACGUGAUUCUCCUAAUGACGUGAUCCAGUUAUCAAGCAACAACACCUUGUUCAUAAUCAGAAGACACUGACUAUCUUUGAUCAACUGGAUAGCCAACUAGAGGCUUGCUAGGGACGGUGUUUUGUCUAUGUAUCCACACAUGUAAAUGAGUCUUCAUUCAAUACAAUCAUAGCAUGGAUAAUAAACGAUCAUCUUGAUACAUGAAUUAUAAUAAUAACUAUAUUUAUUAUUGCCUCUAGGGCAUAAUUCCAACAGCACCCUUAGUAUUUGAGCUUCGACUUUUGCCUGACACACCUUCUAGUGAGAGAUUGUCUUUUGCUAUUUUUUCAAGUGAACGGAGCUUGUGCUGUUGUGGACCAACGCAUGCAUGUGAGGCUGUUUGUAAAGAAAUUGAGAGCCUGUGGAAAGAGAGAGAGCGAGAGAGACUGUGCAACAAAAUGGGUCCAAUUCUGGUGUUGUGAGGUUUCACAAGCCUAGGCGAGCCCAGUCAUGAGCCGGCUCGGUUAGGCUUGUUUCCAUCACUAGCAACCGCCUUUAGGCACACAAUCAGUGUUUAGCUUUCAUUUUUCACGAUGAUCAUUUGCAAAGGUAGCUAAAAUUUCCCCAAUGCCUUCUAUUCCGAGUGCCACUCACCGCACGAGGGUAAUAUAUCUUGGAUCCAUAUGACAUAUGCCAUAGGAGAAGAACAAAGGAGGACGUAGAUCAUACUGUGAUGGCUAGGGCACUGCUGUUGUAUGUAUUGCAAGAGAUGUUGCGUCUUGGGGAAUAUAUAUAGAUAUAUAGAGAUAUCUGGGCAUGUAAUGGGCAUGUGUAGACCUCGCUAAUUUAAUAUGUAGCGUGCAGGCCCAAACUUGAAUGUCCUGGUUUGUACAACUAUCAACCACCCGUAGUGAAUUAUACAAUUGGUUUGUUUCCAAGGACUGAGUGCCCUCACUAGUGUAGAAUGUGGUGCUAUUAAGCCACACCUGACAUACAACCUAGCGUCAAAUUAUCUAUGUGGAAGGCAUCACAUACGUUACAAAAAUAAAACCAUGUGCCUGAAAAUGAAAUGUGUGCGAUGGCUGUCCCAUCACACAUAAUUUGUGAAAGAGACUCGUAUGCGCGAGCCAGAGGGCAGAACCUCUAAUAGAAACACCUAAGCUGAUCCGCCUCCUCCUCCUCCCGUGACCUUAGCCGUCGCCUCCAUCCACUGAGCCGCCACCUCCUCCCGUAACCCUAGCCGUCACCUCCCGUCGCCCCCCUCCCGUCGCUCCCGUGGGCGACCAGGGGGUAACCCUAGCCGUCGUCGUCGAUCCUGCCUUGCUCCUCCUUCAUCCUUGCCGCCGCCAGCAGCGCUGCCAGGCGAAGCCUGGCCGGCAGGGGGCGGCGGCGAGGAUCCUCUCCCCUUCACGCGACAUGGCUGGCGCGGGACGGCCGUUCGUGAGGAGGCGUCGGACUAGCGCGUGAUGCGGUGGCGCUGCAUGUGGAUCCUAGCGGCGGCGUGCGGAGCGCGUCGACGACUGGCGUUCGGUCUUGCGGGGCGUUGUGGCGGCUGCGAGAGGGGCAAGACAUGGAAAUCGCGUGCGUCGUCGAGUUCGGGUCAGAUCCUUCUGAAUCCGGCGCCCGGACGCCGUCGGCCAGCGCAGGGUGGUGGUACUCGUCACUGUUCAGAUUGGAUCUUUUUCAUUGAUCCAGAUACCCGCGGUGUGCUUCUCUCCUGCGAUUUCCUGGCUUUGCCGGCGUGGCCGCGGAUGAAGCUGGUGGAGGAGAUUCAGAUAAGGGAAAACCCAUUGGUCGUCCCUCGUCGCCCGCGCCGACGACAAUGCUCAAGGGCGCCGUUUUUCUUCCUGGAGACGUCGGUCUACGUCUGCUCCUCCACUUCCUACCUCACUGUCUCUCGAGUGAAAACCCUAACUCCGGUGGGCGGCGGCGGCGUCCUUGAUGUCGUGACCUUCCUGAAGGCGUCGCCUUGAGGGCUGAGUGGUGGUAGGCAUUAUGUGGGUCCUGGACAGUUGCUGGUGGUGGGCACUGCUUUGGGAGAAACCCUAAGAUCUGACUUUUUAGAUCGGACGAUGACGGUAUUGCGGUGUCGUUUUCUCUCUUGGGAUCAUCGUUUGUGGAGCAGCGCUGGAUGACAGAGGCAGGAAAUGAAGCGCGUUCGUCUGGCCCGAAGAUUUGGUGGAACUAUCAAGUCAUGCGCGGCCGACAGGUGCUACGCUGAGUCAUGCCUGGUUGGUAGGUGCUAUGCACGACAGUUCUUUCAGAAUGUUCGUGUCUGGACGAAUAAACGCAGGGUGGUGGCGCUGUUUGGCACCGUGGUAGCGUCGAUCAUCUUGCACAGAGCUUUCGGUGGAGAUGUCAAGUCAUGCCUGGACGACAGGUGCUACGCUAUGUCAUGCCUGGUCGGCAGGUGCUAUGCACGACAAAUCUUCCAGAAUCUUCGCAUCUGGACUGACAAGCCGUGGUGGCGUCGACGGAUGGACGGACUGGCAACGAUGAUACAGAUCUCUCUCCUGAAGAUGGUUAGCGGCGUGAUGAUGAUGGUGGCAUCUAAAACGUGCGCAUGUGGUGUACGCUUUAGGUCUACUGCACCGGUUGUGGGUUCCGAUACGUUAUGUGGAUGUAUCGGUGACGGCACCAGUUUUAGAUAUGGGGAGUGAGAACACUCCACAUUAUCGAAUUUAAUUUGUAGGUGUGGGUGAUGGCUUCGGAUGGUUUGGUGUAUGUUCUUGUUAGACGUACGUUGAAUAAUUAAUAAAAAUGAUUGUAUGCAUAGAUUGAUGCACAGGCAGGGGUUUGAACCUCCUUUUCAAGAAAAAAGCGCGAGCCAGAAUCCAGUUUGACCGUGCAAGGCGUUUGCGAUAACUCGUAAUAACGCAUAUGAUAGUUUUGCGCGAAUGGUGUGUGUUACAUGACAAACAAGCAGGAUAGAAAAAGACUCGUGUGCAAUGAUGGAAGGGAAACGCUUCUGGCCGGUGCGCCGGUCGAACCGUUCGGCCGGCCGCACGCGACCGCGCGGGCGUUUGCUGACUUGGUAUGCAACUUUCUUCGUCUAAAAUUGUUACAACCGCCGUCAUAUUUGCUGCAAGCGUUUUGUUUUGCUACAUCUGUCCGUUAAAAAAGCUGCAUCCACGGUUGGUUGCAACUUCAGUUUGUCGGAUUUUCGUUACAAUCGUUAUUUUUUACUUUUGCUACAACCGUGUUAAUUUUUGCUACAACCAGCAUCAUUUUUUGCUGCAACCGUUCACAAAAAAAGUUGCAUCCACGUCACGUAGAUAUUUGCUACAGCCGGCGUUUGACUUUUGCUACCACGCACUAUCAGCUUCGUUUUUUUCUACGAUCACGUAGAUAUUUUUUUGCUACAAAUUUUGUUUUUUGUUACAACCGUUGAAAAAAUUGCUGCAUCGCGCCGAAAUUUGAUGCAUCGAAAGGAAAAGAUUGCAUAAAGAUCCAACGAUACGGACGACGCGGGAUUAGUGGAUCCCGAGGCUCCCGCGCGGCCGGCCAAAAGUUUCGGCCACGCGCCGGCCCAGAUCAUCCCCAUGAUGGAAGCGUCAGCACACAUUACACACUUUUUUCUAAGGGCAACUCGUGUGCAAUAACCCGUGAAAACACAUAGAUGUGGAUGCGGCCGGAGGAGCGUGGCGCCAUAUGGAGCAUCCGCUCCAUCGUCUUCCUCGGCAAAGCGGUAUCUUCUCGUGAUGCCUCCCGUGUCUCGGCAGCCGAUGACAGUGACAAUCAAAAGCCCGUCUCCAUGCGCUACUGCAGCAGCUGGCGGUGACGUCCUCGAGCAUCACCAUAGAGCAGGCUCGUGGCUCCAACGAGGUCUCUUCCUCCUGCAUGGAAAACGACCAGUCGUGAAUGCAGUCAUCCGCCGAGUUACAGUCACCUGCCAGGGACGCUCCUGUGUUUCGGGAUGCCAUAGGCAAACUCAACAACAUGGACCCCUAUGUCCUAAGAUCAUAUAUUUUUACUUUUAAAAUUUAACUAUAAUAAUAGACUGAUUCCAUCAAUAAUAAUUAAUAAUAAUAAAAUUUCAACUUUCUUAAUUGACAAUGAUAAUACUAAAAAGAUAGAGAAAUGAAACUAAAAUGACAUGAUUACCUCAAAUAAGAAUUUAAUUCUUCAUAAAAAGAUUCUUCGGGCGUUUCUUGAUGCAAAGUCAUUAAGGGCACAAUCAAGGUCAAACAUUUUCCAAUAUAUCAUUCUCAAUGCAGCACAUAGCCAAGUCAUUCAACAUAUCCUGCUCGGGAUUACUUAUCUGCCCAUGUUAUUCACCCGAAUCAACAUUGCUCGAAGAUGUAAAGUGCCUAUUCAAAGAAUCCUUCAAUGGUUGAAUUUUCUGUUGGAAAUAAGUCGUGACGGAGCACGGUGCGACCAACGUCGGUGCGUUAAGUUGGGUUCGUACGUAGCGGUGCGAUCGGCGUUGGUGCGUCGGGUUGGAUCCAUGGGCUGGGUCAUGACCGUGUGUACGUAUGUGGCGUACAUGUGUAGCGUGUGUGUGCUUGUGGUAGUAACGUGUUUGUGUACUCGUAGUGGUUGUUAGCAGUGACCGGUGAAGGCGCAGACCUGGCCGCGUCGUGCGCGUAGCGCGCGUCGUGCGCAUGGCUGCGUCCGGAUCACUCGGUCACAACCGGUUUCCCGUUGCAUGCGUACGUGCGCAUCCAAGGAAACGUGGGCGCUGCGCUAUAGGAGUAUAAAGGCAUGGCCUCAAGUAUGUGUUUGCACGAGAGUUAGAGCUCUUGGGAAAAAGGUUGUACGUGCAGCCGACCGUUCGUCGUGGAAAACUCCCUGUGUUCAGUGUUCAGCUCGUUCUUCUUCUUGUACCUCGUCCGAGCGGGUGAGAGAGAUAGUUAUCCGAGUUUGUCCCAACAUUUGGUAUCAGAGCUUCGUUGCGAUCCACUACGUCGAACAUGUCCAUCGUCCCGUACGGCGCCGGAGGGAGCACGGUGUCGCUCCCCGUGCCGAUGUUCAUCGGUGACAACUACACUGUGUGGGCGAUCAAGGUGGAGGCGAACCUCGACGUGCAAGGGCUGUGGGAAGCGGUGGUUCCGGCGGAGGACUCAACGGCGGCGGUCAUCGCGAAGAAGGACAAGCGGAGAGGGCAUACCUCCUCGGAGCGCUCUCCGAAGACAUCCUGCUGCAGGUGUCGUCGAAGAAGACGGCGGCGGAGCUGUGGGCGAGCCUGAAGACGCGGUUUGUCGGUGCGGACCGGGUGAGGGCGGCGCGGCUCUCGACUCUCCGCGGCGAGUUCGAUCGCCUGCGCAUGGAGGACGGCAACGAGCUGGACGCGUAUGCCGGGAGGAUCAGCGGCAUGUCGGCAAGGUACGCGGCCCUCGGAGCGACACUCAACGACGCGGCAAUGGUGAAGAAACGGCUCGACACCGUGCCGGACCGGCUGUUUGCAGCGGUAGCCGAAAUUGAGCAGUUCUGCGACGUUGACAAGAUGCCGUUCGAGGAGGCGCUCAGCCGGCUGAAGGCGUUCGAGGAGCGGAUGAGGCGGCGCAAUCAGGACAAUGGCGGACGUGGCGGUGACCACCUCCUACGCACGGCGGCUCAAUGGGCGGCAAUGCGACGUCAGCAUGGCGGCGGCUUCGACCACGACGAUGACGGCGCGGGCAGCACGGCGUCGGGCGGCGCAGCAAAGAGACAAGGACGCCGUGGGCGCUGCUACAACUGUGGCCAGCGUGUACAUUUUCGACGGGAGUGCCCGAAGCCACUUCAGGCGGAGGCGCCGGAGCACGCGCUUGUCGCGGCGGUCGACGACAACGUCGGGCCGGCGCUCCUCUAGGUUACGACUUAGGGGGUGAUUGUUGGAAAUAAGUCGUGACGGAGCACGGUGCGACCAGCGUCGGUGCGCUAGGUCGGGUUCGUAGCGGUGCGAUCGGCGUCGGUGCAUCGGGUCAGAUCCGCGGGCUGGGUCAUGACCGUGUGUACGUAUGUGGCGUACAUGUGUAGCGUGUGUGUGCUUGUGGUAGUAAAGUGUUUGUGUACUCGUAGUGGUUGUUAGCAGUGAUCGGUGAAGGCGCGGACAUGGCCGCGUCCUGUGCGCUUAGCCCGCGUCGUGCGCAAUUCUGCGUCCGGAUCGCUCGCUCACAACCGGUUUCCCGUUACAUGCGUACAUGCGCAUCGAAGGAAACGUGGGCGCUGCGUUAUAGGAGUAUAAAGGCAUGGCCUCAAGUAUGUGUUUGCACGGGAGUUAGAGCUCUUGGAAAAAAGGUUGUACGUGCAGCCGGCCGUUCGUCGCAGAAAACUCCCUGUGUUCAGUGUUCAGCAAGUUCUUCUUCUUCUACCUUCGUCCGAGCGAGUGAGAGAGAGAGAGUUAUCCGAGUUUGUCCCAACAUUUUCGUAUCACUUUUUUUUUCCGGCACCCGACAAUUGCUUCUUCUUAGGCAACAUGGCAGACCCUAAAAUUAUGAAGAAAAGAGGAAUAGAGAAUACAAAUAAUUAAAAUUUAUACAUAUCAAAUGAUUGAAACCCUAGACAUACAUGAAAAAGUACUUGAAUUACUAAAUAAAGAUGAUGAAUGGACUAUGUACUAGUGUUGAAUUCUGUUGUUGAUUACUCCUUCUCAUACUGAAUAUUGAUGGAUGGAUGGAUGGAUGGGGUCUCGUGCACUCCUUGGUGUCCUGCUUGGCUGCUUCGGAAGCAUGUGUUAGAUACUUAGAUCGAUGGCCAAGACCAAGACACCACUCGCCGCAGUACUGCUGAUGCCUGAUGGAUGGAUGGCCGGACUGCCGGGCGGCCGGCGGCGCCAACGCGCGCAGCGGCGACAAGCCGGCCGAGUCGCUAUAUGGCCAAGGCACUGUAGGGCAGUGGAGAUGAGGCGUCGAGGCAGGCGACCAGAAGAUGAGUAGACGAAGCCACGAAGAGGUUUCUGUUGUGAAGUUUUUAGCCGGGCCUAGCCAUCUGAAUAUCUUUCUUCUUUUUUGUAUGUUUUUCACAUUUUUAAUGGACUAUAUUGCAUAUACAUAUUAUAUUAUGCGCCUUCUUCUUAUGUGGGCCCUAGGCCGUCGCCCCGCGGGUCAUACAUCAGGGCCGGCCCUGUCACCUGCCAAGUCAACACGGUUAACAAAAUUUGGACCUUGGCGCAACUAUACUUUUCUGUAUCUCCCCUAAUAAUAAAGCGCGCAGCGUUUCUGUCGUCCGUCGUCGCUCAUUUUGCAGAAAAGCCUUCGCCGUUUUAGGUAAUUAACCCGCAGUUCAUUUUGCAGAAAAGCCCUCACAGUUUUAGAUAAUCAACCCGCAGUCCAUCUUUUAGUCACAGCCGAACCGUUUUUUUUGCAAUUUUUAGAAAAUUCACUGAUGUUUCAGGUAAUCAACCCGCCAUCCCUAUUUAAGUCAGCCGAAACCCUGACUUUUCAGUUAAUCAAUCCAUAUUUUAUCUAAAACAAAAUUAUCCAUAUCUUUUAAACCGUAACUCCGAUUUUAACAUGUUAUAUAUAAAAUUUGAUUGAAAAAAAUGUGUAGAAUCUAAAUAGGAUGUUAGUUUUAGCUGUUGAAUACUUCUUAAAUAUUAUUUUUGGUGCAAACUUAAUCUGUAGUGCACGGUCCUUUUUUUCUCUCUUUCCGGUGACCAUAAGAAUUGCAAUAAACAUCCUUUAAAUUAAAAUCAAAUUAAGAGGAAAGAAAACAUCGUUAACCACACAUGCACACCUUUGAAAAAUCUCGUGGAAAGAAACAACAUAUUUCUCAUCUUAUUUCGAGUGACUGUACAUUCAAACGCGUUUUCGUUGUGUGAGCACUGAGGCCAUCAUCGGCAACACAAAUAUGAUGCAAUGUGAAAAUAUAUUGCGUUCAGACCGUGUGUUAUUUUCUCUUUCGUUGCAACGCACGGGCUUUUUUGCUAGUCUUAGAUAAUGCAAGGGAAAAAAAACGGUCUAACCGAGCGGACCGCGCUAGUUACAAACAUGGAAAUCGAACCAGUGAUCACCUUAUUCACUCCACAUUGUGGUAACCACCGCACUACGGGAAUUUGAUGCACAAAGUUCCAUCAUUUCACUUUCUUAUCAUCUUUUUUUUUUCUGUUCUUGUACUAUCUUACCAGCAAAUCGGAUGAAAUUUCUUAUCAUCUUGUCCGCAGAUAUUUUGUUGCCUCAUUUUUUAAAUUUUUAUCAAUGAUUUUUGUGAUACAUUAAAAUACAUUCAUCAAAUUUUGGCGAGAAUAGCAAGCUUAAAGAAAACAAGAAAUACAAGAAGACAUUUUAGAACAUAUCAAACUUUCAUAACUGCUUCCGUAAGUUUGAUUAGUGCCUUCUCAAUGCAUUCAUUGUUGAUUUGCGGAGUCUUGAUGUUAAAUACUUUUUUUUUUGAGUCUAAAGAAUUAGACGUUGCUUUCGCACAUCUAGCCUCAUCUCUAGCGUCCAGCAAGAAGUGCACGAACAUCUAUUAAAUUACGUACUAUUAAUAGAUCGAUGUAUUCUUCUUCCCAAACCAAAAGGUGCAUCCAGCCUACGCAAUAAAUAUUUGAUUGUAAGCAAAAUGAGCUGGAUCCGGAAGCACAACCGAAGCAACUCGCACAUACUCCCAUCAUUUUUGCACAUGACAAACACCCAUCCGGGAUGUUUCGACGUGUUAGACACGCGGUGCAAGACUUUCAGUGGACAGUCGUCAAACUUUAUGAGCGGCAUCAAUGCGCCGACGAGCAUUUCAGCCAGCACAGAGCCCGGACGGCGACCAUUGGUGUAUUUGUCGCCGAACCGCCGAAGGGAAAGGGGUAGAUCCGAGUAGCUAGAGGCUGAGUCAGUAUCGGCAUGCGAUCUCCGUGAGUUGUCGGGGCUGUGCAGACCAGUACCCAGCCAGUCCUUGGCAUGGCCCGAUCUCCAGUGUCAUGCCGCGCACAAACCAAGCGAGAUCCACUCCAAAUUCGGCCGCCGGUUGCGCUAAGGUGAGGGCGUGAGGUUGGACAACUCGUGGUGUGGAGAAAAGGUGAACGAGCACGUGAUAGUGCUUGGCGGCUACACGACCAUGGCAGAGGCGACGGUUAGGGCCGAGAAGGGUGUGGGGCGGGGGUGCAUGGUCGGAGUAGAGGGGAGGGGGAAUAAAAAAACGGGUGUGUCACCGACGGGCAGGCCAGGGGAGGAAAAGGGCAUGUGUCGUGCUCGUCCGCGCGUGUUCGUUUGGCUGCAAACACGGUCCAAAAUUGGCCGGAAAAUGGUCAAAAGCGGACCGAAAACGAACAUUUAUCCAUUUUCUCCCGCUUAUUGGGUCGCGAUUGGUGUUCGUUUACCUCCAAACGGACGCAGGAGAACGAUUUCGGGUCGUGCUUUUGAGUUGGCCUGAGGGCGGCCUCACGGCCAGCCCCUUUGCGUGCGCGUGUGUGAGCAGCCCCCUCUCGAUGCGAGAAUAUCCUCUUUAGAGCAUCUACAUCCGGACCACUCAUACCCCCACAAACGCCCGGACAGGUCGUCCGGUCAGUGACCGGUCACAAAAAAGCGAUCCAACCUGACCUCUCAAAGCAACCUCAUAUGGGGUGGCCCGGUCACACUCGCGCAUGCCCACCUGACAAGCCCGUCCCACCGUCGACCCCACCACUGUCCCAAAAAAAAAACCACUUCGGGCGCCUCGCUCUGAACCCUAACUCACUCUCUUCCUUUGUCUUGUCCUCUCCCUCUCCUAGCCUAAUCCCAUAGAGUAGAAUGUCGAGUGCCGGCAGCCACUCCAGCGACUCCAAGGUCCACUUCGAUGAGCUGGCCCUCCGCAUCGCCUUAGAGCGGUCCAAAGUGGAGACGAGCGGCAGCUCCGGAUCUAGAGCUACCCCGUCGCUCCUGAGACAACGGAGCACAGAUAUCGAAGCUGGACCCUCCCGGCCCCCGCGCAGCUCCGGCUGGGCUGCACAGUCUGCACCGGCCCCACACCGUGUCCUUCCCCCGUCGGCUGCUGCUCCACGUGGGCAAUGUUGGGUCCUAGUACCCGCACAGCUAGCCAGUGCCCGCACGCGCACUCCAGAAUCGGAGGCUACGCCGCCUGUCGUGAGAGGGAGUAGGCACUAGGACGAGGGGAAGCGUGGUAGUUCGCUCGCCGCCACCACGAGAUGCUGACGGAGCCCAACGAGGAUGAACGCCUCAUUGCAUGGGUGUACCUCCAGUUCCUCACGAUGGCGGAGACGGGUGGUCGACGCCUCCGACGGAAGUAUGCGAAGGAGAAGGAGGUAGCGGAGGAGAAAGCCCGACUGGUAGCGAACGAGCAGGACAUGGCGGUCCGGCAGAUGAAGGGGCUCGUCGCCCUCUCCGAUGACGACUUCAACUACAGCGUCAACGGCAGCUCCUCCUUCGAGGACCAAGACCGUCCGCGAGCCUUGGACGGCUACGGCUGCGCGCCGAAGAUCCAAAGGGGAAAGGGUCCGGCGAGGAAGUGGUGAUCUGCCCCCUCCCCCCAACGUAUUGUUAAUAUAGUUUUUAGGUGAUGAUGAAGUAUGUCUUGUGAACUCGAUGAUCUUUUGGAUAAUGAUGAAUGUCCGUUUACCGUAAAUCUUGUGUUUGUUUGCUUUCGAUUUUAUUGUCCGAUGUUUAAUCACGUAGAUUAUUUUGACAUGCAUGUGUGGUAUGGAUAUAGGGCGUCGGAUAUGAAAUAUGUGGAUGUGGAGAGAGAAAUUUAACAUGUGACUGGACGCGUCCGCGGCUGUUUACGAGGCCGGAUUUGUAAAAUGCGACUGUAGAUGCUCUUAUAUAGGAGAAGAGCUAGGCCGGUGGGUGGCGCACCGGUAUGCCGAUUCCUGAGAGCUCCGCCAACUUCUUGUUCAGCUGAGCCGGUCACUAGCGAGACUGCCGGGUGAGUGAUUGUCCCAUUGAUUUGCUCCAACCGUGAAGCAUGAAUAUCCUUAUCUGAUCGAAAUAACCGUGUCGUAUACCAAUCCAGCUGCCUAAUGGGCCUAGGCAGGUAUGCACGUAUAGAACUCUCCCAGCGUGCUAGUCCUUUGCUUGGAUAAACAUGAAUGCUGACAAGUAUUGACCCGUCGGUUGCAUCAUCAAGCUAUUUUUUUUUUGACAGUAUCAUCAAGCUAUUUUAGCAAGGGCAGUACUACGCGUCGGAGCGCCGGCACGAGCGCUAGCGCCGGUCGCAGCGUGACCGUCAGAUCUGCAGGGGGACCGUUAGAUCUUUUCAUGCAACAUUUUUUCCUUCAUGCAACAAAUUUCAACACUAUGCAGCAUUUUUCGUCAACGGUUGCAACAAAAAAUAAAAUUUAUAGUAAAAAAAUAUCUACAUGAUCGUAGCAAAAAAACGAAGAAGAUGAUGCGUGGCAGCAAAAGUCAAACACCGGUUGUAGCAAAAAUUUACGUGAACAUGGCUGUAACUUUUUUAGUGAAUGGUUGCAGCAAAAAAUGAUACCGGUUGUAGCAAAAAUUAACACGGUUGUAGCAAAAGUCAAAACGCCGGUUGUAGCAAAAAUUCAACGAACUCGAGUUGCAACCAAACGUAUAUGCAACUUUUUUACUGGACAAAUGUAAUAAAUAGAAAAGCUUGUAGCAAAUAUGAACGUUGGUUGCAAUAAAUUUACACGAAUUUUUUUUUACAUGAAAAACGUUUGUAUUAAAAAAACACACGGUUGCAGCAAAUUUAACGAAGAAAUGUUGCAUGCACCUGUCAGCAAGGCGCGCGGCCCGCGCGCAACCGGCCGAACGAUUUGGCGGGCGCGUCGGGUGAAAGGCUAGCAAGCUUAUUGAAUGACUGAAUUUUUGUUUGAGACAACUGAUUAGUACCCUCGCGCGGUGCAUCCACCCAUCAGGGCAUUGGGCUGCAUCAUGUCAAUCCCACCUAAUUACGCGAAGGAAAUUAUCAUAAAUAUUUGGAAGAAAAAAAUUGAAUGCACGGCAUGUUCACUUUUGUACUCUUGAUUGUACACACAAGUGCUUCAUUUUACCAUUUAUACCUUUUUUCCGACAUAUGGGACAUGCAAAUAAGUGACAAAAUCUCGUCAAACAAUAUCUUGAACAGAGUAGGCGGGGUUGGACAGAUUGUGGACUUGAAAGGCACACUUACUACAUUUGAAGGACCAGGAUGUCGAUUUUCAUAGUUUAAGAAGCUACAUGACACCCUUGAAAUUGCUUAGGGACCUAUGAUGCAUUUCAAACCAAGAUUUUAUGUCGAUUUGAUGUGCCCCAGUCAAUCAGGGCAUUUAUAAGAAAAUAAGGGGGUCCGGUUAUGUCAACUUGUUUUGACCGCGCACUGAUCGGGUGGAUGUUUCAGAAGAUCACGGAGGAAAUAAAGGGUCCGCGUGUAGAUGCUCAAAUCUGUAAUCCAAAGGUAGAUAUCCUGCCGGUUUAGCUUUUGAGAAAGAUAAAAAGGAACUGAUGUAACUUUGUGUGCUUUGUUAAUAUUAAUACUAAAUAUUGUUCUUGGAACCUUUUUCUGAUCUUGGGAUGCAGUGUGCAGAAUACAAUCUUUUCCAUGCACUUGUCGAAAUAAAUUGCUGCCCUCGUCAUCUCAUAGUUUACUCUUCAUUAGUUUAUGGCAUACUUCAAAGUAAAGAAGGUGUUGAUGCAUGCAAUGAGUAGUGCUAAACAUAGCCAAUUAUUUUUUGCUUCCAUAAAAGUAUUCAUGUAAUGAAGCAUAUAGCACUUAAAGUGAGUGCAACUUCCAAACUGUAUGGCAAAUCUUUAGAAUGCUUGGACAUCCGAUACCCUAGAAACAUGAAAUGAAGCAUCAGAAGAAUUUGUAAGCGGCAGUCUCGACAUACGAGCUAGCUAGUCAUGCCGGAGUGGUGGUGGCCAACGGGUUCGAAGUGGCUAAGAGCAACUACAAUAGAGCUGAGUCAGGUGGCUAUAAGGCAUAGACUUAGUACAUUUUUGCUUAGUUGGAGGAAAGAGAAGAGGAGAGAGAAGGUAAGUAGACUCUUAGUUAAGAGCCAGAUCUAGCACGUACUUCUAGGCACUUUGUGAGAGUGAAAGCUGGGCCAUAUAAUAAAAUUAUAAUACAUUUUUCUAAUCAACUAUUAUUCAUGCUGGCUACAAGAUGUACUAUAAAUGACAUGACAAUGGUUUAUAACAGAAAGUGGCUAUACUAUUAACCAUGUUGUAUGGAGGAAGGAGCGGCGUUGGCUUGCGGAGUGGUAGCACAUGAUGGAGAUGUUCACAUGGAUGAUGGUGAUGAUCGUGAUGGGGACCGUGGAGAUGCAGAUCAGGAUGAAUGCUCAGAGAAGGGAAAGGAUGACAUGAAUCCUUCAUCAUCUACUGCUUCUGAUAAACAGGUUAAUGUCAGGGAUGCACCUACGACUACUCCCAUGAACACCCUCGGGUUCGGUUCGUUUGAGGUGAUACCUACGCUGACCCGUCUAUGGGGGGGCAUGAUGUGCAGGAGGGACCUGUACAACCGGUAGAUGUGCCGGUUUAUGUGAAUCAGCAUGGGGGUCAUGAGGACAGCCGGCUGGGAAUACAGGGCACACUGGUCGGCAGAGAGGACCUGGUAGAGCCGCUGGGCAGUAGCCAGGACCCAGCUCCUCAGAUAGACGGACAGGAGGUUCGCCAGUCGCAGGAGAGGCUUCGAUCUGACAGGGUGGAGGUUUCGAGCAUAGGGAAGGAGGCCCGUGGUAAUUUGGAGCCUGCUCAGGACGAGGUGAUCGCUUUUGGAGGGAUACCGGAUCCUUCGUACACUGAUCGACAUUUCACUCAUCGCAUCCAGAAGCAGCGAGACGCGGAUGACAUGAUGCUUGGGCGUGCUAUGAGGGCCGCAAAGCUUCGAGACGUCGAGGCAAAGACAGGUAUGUCGGUCUAUACUACUGCUUCUAUUCUUAAUUUCUCUGAUGUAGAGAUCAGUCAUAAUGCUAGCGACAUAGGUAUUUCUUUGGGUACCUCUGGCAAACAAGUAGCAAAACCAAUUAAUGAUAUUCUAGACAUAGAAGUAGACAGAGCCAUAGAGUUUAUUCAAAAAGUAGUUGCGGUUAAACCAAUGAAUGAAACAAACAUUAAUGAUUUAGGAGGCGCAGAAUUACAUAAUCUAUGUGAGAAUCUAUUGCACUUAGAGGGAGUUGAAGAAGAUGUAGAUGACAUAGGAUCAAAGGGGUAUAUGGCCCCUUUGGUUGACGGUUGUCAUCCACAUGUAAUUGCUGCACAUAGUAAAACAGAAAUAAUUCAGGAAAAACCAAAGAGACCUUGGAAAAGGAAGGUUUACCCUGAAUCAGCAGUUAGGAGAAGUGCAAGAGUGAAACAAAAGAAGAAAUUCCUUGAUGAAAUAUAAAAGGAAUGUUUUAGAAUAGCAGAGGUCUAGCAGACUUGGAUAAAAGAAGGUUCCUUAGAGAGGCAUCACUAGAUUAUAAGCUUGACUUUAUGACAUUACAAGAAACGGGCAGAGAUAAUUUCACACCGCAAUUCCUAAAUACUCUAUCAGGAGGGGUGGAUUUUGAUUGGCACUGCUUGCCACCAAGGGGUAGAUCGGGUGGGAUCCUACUUGGGGUUAAGUGUGAAACUUCAGAGGUGUAGAGUGUCGUCUAUGGCGAAUUUUCUGUCAAAUUUCGAGUGAGGUCGAAACUUGAUGGUUUUAGAUGUGCUCUAGUGGUCGUAUAUGGGGCCGCACAACCGGAGCUCAAAUAUGAUUUUCUCGCUGAUUUAGUAAGAAUUUGUGGAGACGAAACACUACCAAUUAUGGUGGGGGGAGAUUUUAAUAUCAAUAGAAGGGAAGAUGAAAAAAACAAUGAUAAUUUUGAUGCACGAUGGUCACUUAUGUUCAACAUGGUUAUUGAGAGUCUCGAUUUGAGGGAGAUUGACUUCACCGGGAGACAAUUCACAUGGGCUAACUCAUUACCGGUACCAACAUAUGAGAAGUUGGACCGAGUACUGACCGGUGUCGACUGGGAGCAGAAGUACCCGCUAGUUUCAGUACGUGCUUUACAAAGAUCAAUCUCAGACCACACGCCACUCAUAGUUGACUCAGGGGAUGCCAACUAUGCGGGAAAUAGAAAUACAUUCUCUUUUGAGCUGAGCUGGUUUGAAAGAGAAGGAUUCAUCGAUCUCAUAGCUAAUGAAUGCGCUAGGGAUUUGGGUGGAUCCACGAAUAUAGGAAGAUGGCAAAAGAAAAUCCGAAACUUGCGCCAGUUCUUGAGAGGAUGGGCAAAGAAUCAAAGUGGUAUAUAUAAAAAGGAAAAAAGAAAGAUUCAUUCGUCUGAUUAUGAAUUAGAUGUGAAAGUUGAGUCUGCUCAACUUAAUCUGACUGAAAGGAAGGAAAAGAUUGAUGCUGAGAAUAAUUUGAGGAAAUUAUUAAGAGAAGAGGAGAUGAAAUGGGCACUUAGAGCAAAGGUGUCCAAGGUAGUUUAUGGGGACGAUAACACAAAAUUCUUUCACAUGAUUGCAAAUGGCAAACAUCGAAAGAAAAAUAUAUUCCAACUUGAGCAAGACGAAGGAACAAUCAUAGGUCACGAGAACUAUAAGUUAUAUAUAUCUGAAUAUUACAAGAAAUUCUUUGGUGGACCUGAGGAGACUUGGGUCUCUUUGGAUGAAAGCACAACUCAUGAUAUACCUCAACUCAAUUCAGAUGAGAAUGAGGUGUUAUCGGCACCAUUCACCGAGCAGGAGGUGUACGAUUCAAUAUUUCAAAUGAAACAAGAUAAGGCCCCGAGGCCAGACGGGUUUCCGACGGAAUUUUAUAAAAAAAGAUGGCAUAUCAUUAAAAGAGAUUUAUUACCUAUGUUCCAAGAUUUAUUUAAUGGACAAUUACGGCUAUUCCAUCUUAACUUUGGAACAAUUACGUUGUUGCCCAAGAAGACGGAGGGUGUACGCAUUGAGCAGUUCAGACCGAUAUGUUUGCUCAAUAUCAACUUCAAUUUUUUUACAAAGAUUGGCACGAAUAGGUUAACGAAGAUAGCUCAUUCAGUAGUCCAACCGACACAGACGAUGUUUAUGCCUGGAAGACACAUCUUAGAGGGUGUUGUUGUCCUGCACGAAAUCCAUUCAAAGAAACCAGAUGGGGUUAUCUUUAAAGUGGAUUUCGAGAAAGCAUAUGAUAAAGUGAAAUGGCCAUUUCUUCAACAUGCCUUACAUAUGAAAGGAUUCAAUGAAAGAUGGAGAGAUCAGGUUGAUACUUUCAUUCAGAAAGGCGGUGUGGGGAUUAAAGUUAACAAUGACAUUGACCAUUUCUUUAAAACACACAAAGGGUUAAGACAAGGUGAUUCCAUGUCCCCAAUGUUGUUCAACAUUGUAGUAGACAUGUUGACAAUACUCAUUAAUCGGGCCAAAGAAAAGGGCCAAGUGGGAGGCCUUAUUCCGCAUCUGGUAGAUGGGGGUGUAUCUAUACUGCAAUAUGCAGAUGAUACGAUAAUUUUCAUGAAACACGAUAUGGUUAAAGCGAGGAAUAUGAAACUACUUUUAUGUUUAUUUGAACAGAUUUCGGGGCUGAAAAUUCAUUUGAACAAAAGCGAACUCUUCUGCUUUGGGAAGGCAAAAGAGGAGAAAAAUGCUUGCAGACACCUAUUCGGAUGUGAGAUGGCAUCACUACCGUUUAGUUAUCUGGGAAUUCCUAUUCAUCAUAGAAGACUGACGAAUAAGGAAUGGAAAUGUAUUGAAGAUAGGUUCGAGAAAAAACUAAGUUGAUUGAAGAGCAAGCUUAUGUCAUAUGGGGGGAGGCUAGUACUAAUAAACUCUGUAUUAACAAGCCUACCCAUGUUCCUAUUGUCUUUCUUUGAAAUACCAGUACGGGUACGAAAAAGAUUAGAUUUUUAUAGAUCUCGUUUCUUCUGGCAAAGUGAUGAGGCUAAGAAAAAAUACAUGUUGACACGUUGGGAUAUUAUAUGUAGACCAAAGGAUCAAGGGGGUUUGGGAAUAGAAAAUCUAGAAGUAAAGAACAAAUGCCUACUUAGCAAAUGGCUAUACAGGAUAUCCACAGAGACCGAGGAAAUGUGGAUUCAAAUAUUAAGGAAUAAGUACAUACAUUCCAAUACUUUAGCGCAGGUUACAUCUAGACCAAACGGCUCACCUUUCUGGAAAGGAUUGAUGAAGAUUAAGGUCACUUUCUUUCAGAAGGUCAAAUUUAUGGUUGGGGAUGGUACCUCAACAAGAUUUUGGAAAGAUACUUGGCUUGGGGACAUUCCUUUAGUAGUACAAUAUCCAAUGCUUUAUCAUAUUGCACAACGUAAACAUGACUAUGUGUCUACGGUACUACAAUCGGUACCUCUUAAUAUGCAAUUCAGGCGAGCUUUGUUGGGAGCACGCUGGAACGAAUGGUUACAUCUGGUAAGCAGACUGAUGCACAUACAGUUAUCUAACCAGACAUAUAGUGUUUGAUGGACUUUAGUUACGAAUGGUGAGUUCUCAAUAAAGUCCAUGUGCACGCAUCUCAUUAACACUGGACCACUGUCCAGAUCACUUCAUAUCUGGAAUAUCAAAGUGUCUCUCAGGAUUAAAAAAUUUAUGUGGUUCAUACACAAAGGGGUGGUAUUAUCCAAACAUAACUUAAUAAAAAGAAGAUGAGGAGGAAGACCUUAUUGUUGUUAUUGUGAUAACAAUGAAACAAUAAGACACUUAUUUCUAGAUUGCAAUCUUGCAAAACUACUAUGGUGCACUGUUCAUAUAGCCUUUAAUGUUUCUCCUCCCCUAUGCAUUAGUUCGUUAUUUACAACGUGGCUCAGUGGAGUGGACGUUAAAAUAUCGAAAAUUAUAAGAAUUGGAGUCUGUGCUUCACUUUGGGAAUAAUAUCAUCUUUAAUGGAAAGAAAUUCAACAACUUUUUGCAGAUUAUCUUCAGAGCGACGUCUUAGAUCUGUACGUGGUCGUUACUCAAUCAUGCGGACUCCAGGGAGCUUAUGGAUAUUGGGCGCAACCGAUGGAUGAUGGUCGCACGGCUAUCUUCAGUCGAUUUGGAUGACGUACUAAUAAUAGACUAGGUGUAUAGGCAUCGUAGUCUGCUUUUAGUGACGUCGGAUAUGGCAGUUUGUUUUUCAUUCUAUUUUUGUUUUUCAUUUUUGAGCUUCAAAGAUUUGUCAAGCUUAGACAUUGUUAUGAACCUUUUUUAAUAAGAUGGCUGCAUGCAUCGAUUGAUGCAGAGGCCAGGGGCUAAGUUCUUCCUUUUCAAAAAAAAAAAGAGAGAGCAGCAGUUGAAGGAAUCAAUAGCUCGGGUGAGGGACGCUGACGACUCUAGCAUGCGGACCAUCAAGUAUGGGGCUCGAGAUUGGAAUGGGAGCUCGUGUGCCGGUACAUGAGAGAGAGAGACAAGUUGAGCACGGAAAGGAGUUGCUUGGCUCCCGAUCGGAUUGUGUCAACUCAAACUUUGGCCAAGAAGAGUGCAUCUCCAACUUUAAAAGCUUGGACGAGCCUAGCCCUGCAGACCCACGAGCCAACUCACUUGGACUUGUUUCCAACUCAAGGAGCAGCAUGUAGCUAGAUAGUCAGCGUCGAGCUUUGUUUUUCCAGAGGAAAGACAAGAGGCGGUAGCUAAAAUUUUCCCAGUGCUCUUAAUACAAUUACCAUAUACCUCACAUGGGAAAUAGAUCUUGAAACCAGAGGCUAUGGGGAAGAACAAAAUAGGGAUAUUGAUUACACCAUGAUGACCAGGGUGCCAAUUGUUGAUUGCACUGCAUGAAAUGUUGUAUCUUGGAGGGAGGGUGUGUGUGUGUGGNNNNNNNNNNNNNNNNNNNNNNNNNNNNNNNNNNNNNNNNNNNNNNNNNNNNNNNNNNNNNNNNNNNNNNNNNNNNNNNNNNNNNNNNNNNNNNNNNNNNNNNNNNNNNNNNNNNNNNNNNNNNNNNNNNNNNNNNNNNNNNNNNNNNNNNNNNNNNNNNNNNNNNNNNNNNNNNNNNNNNNNNNNNNNNNNNNNNNNNNNNNNNNNNNNNNNNNAAGCAGGUUCGUUUAUAAGCUUUAGGAUGCCCACACAGACACACAAACACAAACAUGAUGCAACACAAUGUGAGGAUGCUUCAUUUGAAUUGUGUGACAAGCAAGGUAGGCCAUCCCAAAACUUAUACUCCUUCCGUCCCAUAAUGAAUGUGUCAACCAUAGUAUAACUUUAUAUUAAUGUUCGUACAAAGUUGAUACAUUUUUUUUUUUUGGACGGUAUUUUGAACUUUUUUAUUUUUUUAAUUUUAAUUUUUUCUAAAAUGUUGCAAAGUUGCGCCUUUCUCUUAAAAUAUAGAAUGAUUACAUACAUCCACUAUCGGCUGUAUCAUUAAACGUGAAAUAAAGUUUAUACAAAUUGAAGAAAAGAGUACAGUUGGAUGCACAGGACCAAAGCACACUUAUUGAGACUGCUAUCGAUUUAUUUUGAAGCCAUCAUUUCCCAUCAAUCCAGUCGAGAUCAGUGCUCGGAGCCUUUGACGAAAAAUGGUUUUCCUCGCUUUAUAUUACAAAGCAACCAGCCAUAACAUCUAACGAUAGGUGCUGGAACGAAAACAACUCAGUUACGCCAAAAAAUAUAUAUAAAAGGAACAAAUGCCGACACCGACGGAUCGACAAAAAAUGCAAAAGACUCGCGACUGUUGCGCCCAGCAAGUGUCUCCCACCAAGCUCCGGGUCUCCAAAGCGUCGGUAGCUAUCAGCACCUCCUAGAAGGGCUGCGACGAUGACGACAGUGUUGCCAAGGGUUUCCUCCGGUACGCGACGAGGCGCAAGGAAGGAUAGCCCCGAUGCCCUCCAGGAAGGUUCGGCGUCAUCAAAAGGCGUCACCGCGUCAGUGUCGGCCUUGGCCAACAUGGGUUUUCCCCGAUCCCAGCCUGCAUCUCGGACGCUCCGGAGCCUGCCACCAAACCGACCUUCACCCUGCACCAACACGGUCUUGAGGCCCCGCACUGUCUCACCACGAUACCGUAAGGAGAGACCUGCAUAGCGACGAAGAGCACCAUCCUCUUUCAAAGCUUCAUAAUAACCAUGUACCAAAAACGGCUGCAAAAGCUCAAGCACCAUCCUUGUUGGAUUUCACCCAACAUGGUCACAUGGAAAACCACAUGAACACACAUAUAUAUGACCGAAUACGUUAGGUGGAGUCAUAUGGUACAGUUCCAAGCAACCAAACAAUAAUGGUAAAGGUUGCACUUGCCCAUGAUUUUUGCACGAGAGUCCCAGUUUAAAACAAUUUGUCUACCAAAAGAAUUAAAGGAGGUGGUUUGUUUCUUCAUCGUGCAUUGUUAAUCAACUUUCUUUGGCUUAUAUGCUGUGUUUGUUUCAACUCUUUAGUCUGCUGCACAUGGCCAUUUAUAGUCACUUUGGUGCGUGAUGGUUAUGGCAUCCUAACUACCGACCUCUGUGGAAAAUGCGUGGAAACGAUUCUAUGCAAUUUUUGCCCUGUGGAGAGUUUGCCUACAUGCAAAUGGCGUCUCACUCGUGUUCUCGUACUCUGGAAAUUGAAUGUCCUUCGAAGGCCUCUAAGGCAGUUGCCCAAAACUGUUUUGAGGCACCUCCAGCUGUGGGAUGUUAGAGCUACAUCGCACAUAGAUUGUAACCCUCGUUCAUGUAAAACCCACUCCGUUCCACAGGAGCAGGCUGCUGCACAAGUUAAACCCACUCUCCCUAAGGGUCUAAUCUAUGUUUGAAUCAGAAGUACUCUAGCAAAACUCAAAAGUGAUACUCCCUCCAUUCCACAAAGUAGUGUGCCGGCGCUUUCCAAGAUCUAUGUUUGACCAUAUAUUUAAGCAACGAGACCGAUUGCAAUGAAAACAAAAAUUAUAUUACUGUACUGGCUUGUUUAUACUGCACUUUCGUGGUCUUGGCAUACGCACUUGUUAAAACGAAAUUGCUGCUCUAGUCAUCUCGUCCUUUACCCUUCAUUAUUUUUCUGCAUACUGUAGAGUCCCUGAGAUGUUGAUCAAACAAAUGGCUACUAGUAAUAAACAUACACCUUUCCUCUUUGCAUCUAUAAAAAAUUCAAUUGAUUAAGCAUAGACAAUUUAUGAUACGAUGAGUAAAUCUUCCAGACUGUCCUCCAAAACUAAAGAGUACUUAGGCAUAUGAUACAUACCAUGGACAUAAUCUGAAGCUGGGGGAAAUUUGUUCAAUUUGUGUCAAAUAUUAUUGUGCAAGAUAGGUUACAAUUAAACUUGGUUUUGAACCAUGUGUAGACAUCGUAGAAGGCGUGUCAUAUAUUAGAACAUCAGUAUCUCUAGGCCUCUUAUAUAAUAAGAGGGUAGACACAUGAUGUAAACUAUGCCAAUAUAAUAACACAUGCACGCAGAGGGAGCCAGCGGCGUGUGUCGGCGCCCGGGCGGCGGGGGUACGGUAUUAUAGCGGUGUCAUGGGAAGGAACGCCCGUAGUCAUGCCCGAGGAACGUAACCAUAUCAACGAAUUUCGUUAACAAAUCUCGGCGUCGUGCUCGCGUGAUUGUUUGGUGUUCGAUAGAUCGACUAUACGCCUCGGAUUUAAUCUAACAAAAUUAAUAAGCUCGAAAGUCCACAAAGGUACUAGUUAGGGAGUGGCAGCAGUCAGCGGAGAGGCAACUUUUGGUAAGGAGCAACUGAAUAGGGCCGGAGAGAACCACGGGGUGGAAUGAACAAAACUGACAUGAGACGCAUCGCAUGUGGGGGUCAAGAUCCUAAGGGCAUGUACAACAAUAUACAGUCAGCUGUCUGCAAGAUGCCACAUAGGAUUUUGAAUGAGGUGAAGAAGAGAGAUGACAAUCCCGCCUGUAAAAAUACAGUCUAUAGCCUGGUGAAAUCGGUCGCUACCGACAGCCUACCACAGUCGUACCUCGGGUAUGUGCAAUCCAUCCUUUUCCCCUCGCAUGAAUUCCGUGCCACAGUCCUCUGUCUUCAAUGGUCACGUGCAUGGACAAUUAUUUUUCAUCCAAUUUUAUAGACAACCAUCAAGACACCCUGUCGUAUAAGCUGUCCGUAAGGCUGUCUACAUAUGACUUGAGUGCUGUCGUAGACGGAUACCGUCUAGACUAAUGUACAUGCCCUAACAAGGGCAUGUACAUUAAUUUAGAUGCCUGCCGUCUGUAAAAGACCUCCACGUCAGCUAUAGACAGUAGUAGAAACAUCCUAUAUAAUAGCCUGUCUUUUUGCUAUCUGCAUGUAACACCCGAAAAUUAGGAACUGAAUAAAAAAAAUCCCACGUUCGCUAAUCCAUUCAGUUUGUGGGGCAUGAAUACAUCGGAAAACAACAAAACUAUAGACGCCUCAGCGUACAACGGGGAAAGACUGUCGGUAACUAUCGAUAUCUUUGGGACAUUGACCGUCUGUUGAAAUACAGACACCCUCUUUCUCUCUUCUUGUUCUCUUUCUUCCACGUAGUAAAAAAUCUCACGUGGCACACGUUAUAGACGGCUGACUAGAUAUUGUUGUACAUGCCCUGAGAGCUCGUAUGACGGUGCAAAACAGAGGAACGAGCCGCACACAAGAGGGUGCUGUUGUGCUCACAAUUCGUGUGGGCAGAACUCAAGCUUUGACUAAGCCGAGUCCAAGCCCAUUUUUGUGAGCUUUGAGGAGCCUGGACGAGCCAAGCCACGAGCCGGGUCGGCUAGACCUCUCCCCCCAGCAAGUGUUUAGCUUUCAUUUUUUACGAUUUAUACAACUGACACUAGCUGCAUUUUCCUCGAUCCCUCUCAAUCCGAUUUCAUUCACCUCUCAUGGGUAACAUAUGUUGAACCCAUAUGCCACAGAAUAAGAAUAAACGAGGAUCUAGAUCAAACCAUGCUGAUGCUGGGUCGGUGGCUAGGGUGCGAACGAUGAUGACAUGCAUUGCAAGAGAUGUUGUAUCUUGAGGAUUAUAUAGAGGGAGCUAGGCCUGUAAUUGUCAUCUGCUAGCAAACAAUUAUGUACCCUCCAGGCACAAACCUGAAUAUCCUGGCUUUUAGAGCCCUCAACCACCUUGAGUUAAUGAUACAAUUGGCUCGCUUCCAAGAAUUGGGAUGCCCUCGAACAAGAAAAGAAAACUCUAAUAUACAAUACACAGUGAGGAUAGUUCCUUCAUCUUUUCUUGGAUACAACACCUGCAGCUGACUACUAAUCAAGAGCCCGCUUCUUUUCUCUCACCUUUUCUUUCUUCCACCUAAUCAAUGAUAUACUAUUCUUAUCCUUAUAGCCCGCUUAUGUCACCUUAUUCUACUUGCUCUGACGAUGUCAGUCUUCGUCGCCCGAGAACCAGGGCGAUGAUCGGAAGCCCACGCGGAGUCGUCUCUCGAGACGAGGCCAUUACCGCGGGGGAGUAACGAUGAUGCCCCAUCCGCCCGCCUGCCUCGGCGCCUGGUGGGCUACAAAAACCCCCGCCGUUCUAUCUGUCGUCCCACACCCUCGUCCUGUCUCCCCGUCGCUCUCCCCCGUCCUCUCUCUCCGCGUCCUCUCUUUCCUCGUUGCCUCCAGCGAUGGUGUUCCGCACCGGCGAUAGCAGCCCCGACGACGGAGGCGAUGAUGGCCCUAGCCUCUCGCCGUUGAGCCUCGUCACAUAGUCGACGGAGGAUCUCAAUCGCUUUGUGCUGCCGAUGUAGCCAGGGUGUCGGCUAUCCAAGUCAUGGAACAUUGAGAAGGACGGCUUCGCAAUGCUCGGCCCCGGCGCCACGACGGAGGAGUGUCUAACUCGCCCCGGCGGCCGGUGCAACAUCGCUGGUCGUCACGAGUUUCGAGAUGACAAAUCUUACGCUGACGUCAUUGAACUAUGGCAGAGUGUGGUAGCGGCGUCGGCAACGUCUUCGCGUCACGGCGCGCGACACCCGCGUCGGACCCGUCUGCCCUGACGGCCCUCGUGCCGGAGGUUAUCCUCCUAGCGGAGCAACUCGUUCUCCAAGAGGACAGCGACCCCGACAAUCCUCCGGGGUUCCUCAUAGCUCUACGCACAUCGUAGGUAGCGGCAGCGACGGAGGUGGUGGUUGCGGCGGCGGCGACAACACCGGUGAAUGACGAUCACAAUGACGACAUUGACUCGGACGAGGUCUGGAGAAAGGACGAUGACAACGACGGAGCUGCAGGAGCUGGUGGUGCGGGGGAGAUCAUCGACCUCGCUGCCUCAGACGACAAAGUUUAGAUUAGGGUUCAUAUUUUUCUUGUUUUACUUAAUUUCGCUAUGUUUAAUUAAACUUUAUAAUAUUUUGCUAUGUUUAAUUAAAUUUUGCUACUUUUUUAUGAAGAAUAUUAUAUUAAAGUUUGAAUGUAAUAUGAAUGAAAUUUCACUAUAUUUAAUGAAAUUUUCGUUAUGUUUUUUGCCGACCAAACAUGUGCGAGAAAUUUAAAGUUGAUAACUUAUUUAAAUUUUUCUAAAGCGAUUAAAACAAAAUUCAAAGAAACAAUGAACGAAUGAAAAAAGUAAUACGGAAAGAAGAAAAAAAAAGGAUGGGCGGUCGUGCAGACAAGCGAAUGAAACGGAAAAUUUUGUUUUGCAUCACAGUAACCAUCUUGCGCUAUCCGAAAGGGAAACGUUUUUGACCUGUGCAUCGGUUGAACCAUACGGCCAGCCGCAUGCGACCGCGCGCGAUCCGUUGAUUUGGCAUGUAACUUUUUUUUUGUCUAAAUUUGUUGCAACAAACGUUUAUAUUUGCUACAAGCGUUUUUUAUUUGCUAUUUUUGUCCAGUAAAAAAGCUGCAUAUACGUUUGGUUGGAACUCCAGUUCGUCGGAUUUUUCGUUACAAUCGGUGUUUUUUAGUUUUGCUACAACCGUGUUAAUUUUUGCUACAACCAGCAUCAUUUUGUGCUGCAACCGUUCAGUAAAAGAGUUGCAUCCACGUUCACGUAGAUAUUUGCUACAACCGGCGUUUGACUUUUGCUACCACGCACCACCAACUUCUUUUUUUUGCUACGAUCACGUAGAUAUUUUUUUUUGCUAUAAUUUUUUUUGCAACCGUUGACGAAAAUUGUUCCAUCGCACCGAAAUUUGCUGCAUCGGAAAAAAAAUAUUGCAUGGAGAUCUAACGGUGCGGACGCGCGGGGAUUGAUAGAUCGUGCGGCCCGCGCGACUUUCGACCGGCACGCCGGCACAGAGCACUAGCCUAUCCGAAACCCUUCAGUUGUAAAUGAUGUUCCGGGUAUAAAUAAUGAAGUAUAUUCCCUCCGUUCGUCAAUAUAAAUAUUUUUGAAGGUUUUAGUAGAGGAUUACAUACAGAUGUACAUGAACAUAUUUUAAAUUAUAGAUUAUUCAUUUUGCUCUGUAUGUAAUCUCCUAAUAAAAACUUUAUAAAAACUUAUAUUUGGAAAUGAAGGGAGUACGAAUUUAUGCAUGCAGGUGGGCAUGUUCCUUCCACCACUCGAUGUAAAAGUUGAACGAAUUCGAUUACAUCCGGGCAGUUAUCUAGGGUUUCAUCAUCAAGAAAAUCAUAGAAAAUCCAUUGAUUGUCAGAAAAAAAAAACUUUGUGUGGAUCCUUUUCAUGAUGAUACAACGCUGUGGAAAAAUUUUGGGUCAAUUUACAGAUGUCAAAAAAUAACCUUCUUCCAGAAGGACCCUUCCGUGGCCUGAACGGGCUGCGGUGAAGACGAUAAAAUUUUGUUCAUCAUCCGAAUGACACCAAACAUUUAAAAAGGUGAGCAUGCCUAUGCUAGUCGUACAUGCAUGAUUUCAAUGAUUUCGGAUACAUGUAGGCAUGUUGCGACAUGCCCGACCAAUUUUCUAGGGUUUCAUCAUCGAAAAAAAUCAUUGAAUGACAGAAAGCAAUGAAACUAUAAGUGACUCCUUCUCAUGAUGAUACAAGCCUGUGGAAAGAGCUUGAUUCAAUUUGAAGGAUGUCAAAAAAUAUCGUUCUUCCAGACAGACCCUUUGGCCCCAAACGGGUCGAGAUCAUCUUCGGAACGACACCAAACUUUACAAGAGGCGGGCAUGCCUAUGCUAAUCUUACAUGCAUGGUUGCAAUGAUUGGUAGUAGGAGAAGUUAAGCAUAGUUUCAUGCAUCCUGAAGUCUAUGGAUGUGUAAGGAAACAUCAUCUUUGCACCCUCACGAUCAUUACAACAAGCUUUAGCCAGGAAUUCAGUGUUUAACUCUUUUUUGUUUUUUGAUUGAAGCAACAUCUUUUCCAAUACUUCGCAAUCCGAUUAACAUUCAGCUCACAAACGAAAAAAAAUCUCGCAUUCAUAUACCACGGGAUAAGAAGUGAAUGUAGAUCAUACUAUGGUGACAACAAUGUUUUUUUACAUGUAGUGGCCAUGGUGUUUGUUGUAUGCAUAGCAAAAAACGGAGAUAUAUAGAGUGCUAGGGAUGUAAAGGCCGUGUGUAGAUCUAGCUAUAAAUUUUGCAGCCCUUAGGGUACAUAGCUAAAUGUCCUGGCUUGUUGUGCACUCAACCACCCACAUCCAUGAGACAAUUGAUUCACUUACGAGCAAUGGGACGCCCUCACAAAAAGAGAAAGAAAACCCCGUGAGGCAAAAAAAAACUGAGGAUAGUUUCUUAGAACCACACGACAAGUGCUGUUAGCCAUCUCAAAACUGAUGUCAACAAUAGAUGACAGUUCCAUAGAGACCCACAACCCUUGGAGCUAAACAUGGAUAUAUCCCUCCUCUAGACAAAAACCACAUAUCUCUACAACACCCAUUUCAAUCUUCUUUAACUCCAUUGAUAUCAUCACGGUAGUAAACCAGUAAUAACUGAGUAACUGAAUUGAUGUGCAUUUUUAGAUAAGAAUAAAUAUAUAUAAUUUACUCUUGUUGAGAGAAAUAAAGCUAUUUUAGGAGGUAAUUAUAUGAAGUGCGACGUGGGUGUGACGACAAUAAGCCUGCUCCUUUGUGAUCAACCUAUCAAAUCGAUUGUGCAUCUUUUCUAUGCGUACCCCGGCCCUACUCAAUUGGAACAUGCUUUAAGAUCCGUGUGUGCACAUUACCUUAAGCUCCAUCAAGAUCAAUGCCUUCGGAUCCCUUGACGAUUGCUGGAGAAGUGUUGCUACUGGGAACCAGAAGAAUUCAACUCCUCCUGCCUAUAUUGAUUGCCGUAUUUGGAACCAAAGAAAUCAUCGUACUAUUUAGACUCCUUCGCCAACCUUGCCUUUGUCAUCGGUUAGAUUAAUUCUGAUCUCGCCAUGCUAGCUGCU